rnacentral:rRNA from 1 species
GUGGGGAAUAUUGGACAAUGGGCGAAAGCCUGAUCCAGCCAUGCCGCGUGAGUGAUGAAGGCCUUAGGGUUGUAAAGCUCUUUCAGUGGGGACGAUAAUGACGGUACCCACAGAAGAAGCCCCGGCUAACUUCGUGCCAGCAGCCGCGGUAAUACGAAGGGGGCUAGCGUUGUUCGGAUUUACUGGGCGUAAAGCGCACGUAGGCGGGUCGUUAAGUCAGGGGUGAAAUCCUGGAGCUCAACUCCAGAACUGCCUUUGAUACUGGCGACCUAGAGUCCGGAAGAGGUGAGUGGAACUCCUAGUGUAGAGGUGGAAUUCGUAGAUAUUAGGAAGAACACCAGUGGCGAAGGCGGCUCACUGGUCCGGUACUGACGCUGAGGUGCGAAAGCGUGGGGAGCAAACAGGAUUAGAUACCCCAGUAGUCC